rnacentral:rRNA from 1 species
AUUGAACGCUGGCGGCAGGCUUAACACAUGCAAGUCGAGCGAGAGGCGGACGGGUGAGUAAUGUCUGGGAAACUGCCUGAUGGAGGGGGAUAACUACGGGAAACGGUAGCUAAUACCGCAUACCAUCAGAUGUGCCCAGAUGGGAUUAGCGAGUUGGUGGGGGAAUGGCUCACCUAGGCGACGAUCCCUAGCUGGUCUGAGAGGAUGACCAGCCACACUGGAACUGAGACACGGUCCAGACUCCUACGGGAGGCAGCAGUGGGGAAUAUUGCACAAUGGGCGCAAGCCUGAUGCAGCCAUGCCGCGUGUGUGAAGAAGGCCUUCGGGUUGUAAAGUACUUUCCGCGGGGAGGCGUUACCCGCAGAAGAAGCACCGGCUAACUCCGUGCCAGCAGCCGCGGUAAUAC